UGCAGAGGUCCCAAGCGUUGUUCGGAUUCACUGGGCGUAAAGGGUGCGUAGGUGGUGGGGUAAGUCGGAUGUGAAAGCUCGGAGCUCAACUCCGAAAUGGCAUUGGAAACUACCCUGCUUGAGGGUCGGAGGGGGGACUGGAAUUCUCGGUGUAGCAGUGAAAUGCGUAGAUAUCGAGAGGAACACCAGUGGCGAAGGCGAGUCCCUGGACGACUCCUGACACUGAGGCACGAAAGCUAGGGGAGCAAACAGG
rnacentral:rRNA from 1 species